GUUGUAUAGUCAAGUAAUUAAGUGCAUGUGGUGGAUGCCUUGGCAGUCAGAGGCGAUGAAAGACGUGAUAGCCUGCGAAAAGCUCCGGGGAGGCGGCAAAUAUCCUUUGAUCCGGAGAUGUCUGAAUGGGGGAACCCACCUACUUUAAGGUAGGUAUUGCAACAUGAAUACAUAGUGUUGCAAGGCGAACGAGGGGAAGUGAAACAUCUCAGUACCCUUAGGAAAAGAAAUCAAUUGAGAUUCCCUCAGUAGCGGCGAGCGAACGGGGAUCAGCCCAUUAAGUUAUGUGUGUUUUAGUGGAACGCUCUGGGAAGUGCGAACGUAGAGGGUGAUAUUCCCGUACACGAAAGGGCACACAUAAUGAUGACGAGUAGGGCGAGGCACGUGAAACCUUGUCUGAAUAUGGGGGGACCAUCCUCCAAGGCUAAAUACUCCUGACUGACCGAUAGUGAACCAGUACCGUGAGGGAAAGGCGAAAAGAACCCCUGUGAGGGGAGUGAAAUAGAUCCUGAAACCGCAUGCAUACAAGCAGUGGGAGCACCUUCGUGGUGUGACUGCGUACCUUUUGUAUAAUGGGUCAGCGACUUAUAUUCAGUAGCGAGGUUAACCGUAUAGGGGAGCCGUAGAGAAAUCGAGUCUUAAUAGGGCGUUUAGUUGCUGGGUAUAGACCCGAAACCAGGCGAUCUAUCCAUGAGCAGGUUGAAGGUUGGGUAACACUAACUGGAGGACCGAACCCACUGUCGUUGAAAAGCCAGGGGAUGACUUGUGGAUAGGGGUGAAAGGCUAAUCAAGCCUGGUGAUAGCUGGUUCUCCCCGAAAGCUAUUUAGGUAGCGCCUCGGACGAAUACCAUAGGGGGUAGAGCACUGUUUCGGCUAGGGGGUCAUCCCGACUUACCAAACCGAUGCAAACUCCGAAUACCUAUGAGUACUAUCCGGGAGACAGACUGCGGGUGCUAACGUCCGUAGUCAAGAGGAAAACAAUCCAGACCGCCAGCUAAGGCCCCAAAAUCAUAGUUAAGUGGGAAACGAUGUGGGAAGGCAUAGACAGCUAGGAGGUUGGCUUANNNNNNNNNNNNNNNNNNNNNNNNNNGAAGCAGCCACCCUUUAAAGAAAGCGUAAUAGCUCACUAGUCGAGUCGGCCUGCGCGGAAGAUGUAACGGGGCUAAAACUAUGUGCCGAAGCUGCGGAUUUGACAUUAGUCAAGUGGUAGGGGAGCGUUCUGUAAGCCGAUGAAGGUGUAUUGAGAAGUNNNNNNNAUGCUGGAGGUAUCAGAAGUGCGAAUGCUGACGUGAGUAACGACAAAACGGGUGAAAAACCCGUUCGCCGAAAGACCAAGGGUUCCAGUCCAACGUUAAUCGGGGCUGGGUGAGUCGACCCCUAAGGCGAGGCCGAAAGGCGUAGUCGAUGGGAAAAUGGUUAAUAUUCCAUUACUUCUGUGUAAUGCGAUGAGAGGACGGAGAAGGCUAAAUCAGCCUGGCGUUGGUUGUCCAGGUGAAAGGAUGUAGGCAUGUAUCUUAGGCAAAUCCGGGGUACUCUAUGCUGAGAUCUGAUAGCAAGCUGUACUUGUACAGCGAAGUGGUUGAUGCCAUGCUUCCAGGAAAAGUCUCUAAGCUUCAGUUACACAGGAAUCGUACCCGAAACCGACACAGGUGGUCAGGUCGAGUAGACCAAGGCGCUUGAGAGAACUCUGCUGAAGGAACUAGGCAAAAUGGUACCGUAACUUCGGGAGAAGGUACGCUGUUGUUGGUGAUGGAACUCGCUUCCUGAGCUGACGACAGCCGCAGAAACCAGGCCGCUGCAACUGUUUAUUAAAAACAUAGCACUCUGCAAACACGAAAGUGGACGUAUAGGGUGUGAUGCCUGCCCGGUGCUGGAAGGUUAAUUGAUGGGGUUAGCGUAAGCGAAGCUCUUGAUCGAAGCCCCAGUAAACGGCGGCCGUAACUAUAACGGUCCUAAGGUAGCGAAAUUCCUUGUCGGGUAAGUUCCGACCUGCACGAAUGGCAUAAUGAUGGCGGCGCUGUCUCCAGCAGAGGCUCAGUGAAAUCGAAAUCGCUGUGAAGAUGCAGUGUACCCGCGGCUAGACGGAAAGACCCCGUGAACCUUUACUGCAGCUUGACACUGAACUUUGACCUUACUUGUGUAGGAUAGGUGGGAGGCUUUGAAGCUGGAACGCUAGUUCCAGUGGAGCCGUCCUUGAAAUACCACCCUGGUAAUGUUGAGGUUCUAACUCUGUCCCGUGAUCCGGGACGAGGACCGUGUCUGGUGGGUAGUUUGACUGGGGCGGUCUCCUCCUAAAGAGUAACGGAGGAGUACGAAGGUGCGCUCAGCGUGGUCGGAAAUCACGCGUAGAGUAUAAAGGCAAAAGCGCGCUUAACUGCGAGACCCACAAGUCGAGCAGGUACGAAAGUAGGUCUUAGUGAUCCGGUGGUUCUGUAUGGAAGGGCCAUCGCUCAACGGAUAAAAGGUACUCUGGGGAUAACAGGCUGAUACCGCCCAAGAGUUCAUAUCGACGGCGGUGUUUGGCACCUCGAUGUCGGCUCAUCUCAUCCUGGGGCUGAAGCAGGUCCCAAGGGUAUGGCUGUUCGCCAUUUAAAGAGGUACGCGAGCUGGGUUUAGAACGUCGUGAGACAGUUCGGUCCCUAUCUACCGUGGGCGCUGGAAAUUUGAGAGGAUCUGCUCCUAGUACGAGAGGACCAGAGUGGACGAACCUCUGGUGUACCGGUUGUGACGCCAGUCGCAUCGCCGGGUAGCUAUGUUCGGAAGGGAUAACCGCUGAAAGCAUCUAAGCGGGAAGCCUACCUCAAGAUAAGAUUUCCCUAGGACUUUAUGUCCUCUAAAGAGCCGUUCGAGACUAGGACGUUGAUAGGUUGGAUGUGGAAGCAUAGUGAUAUGUGAAGCUGACCAAUACUAAUUGCUCGUGAGGCUUGACUAUACAACACCCAAGCAGUUG
rnacentral:rRNA from 1 species